GGACGAAGGGAGGGCUCCGCAGUUUACUUAAGGGUGGUCCCAUCUGCUAGGACUGGCCUUUCAUAAGGGGAGGGAUUUAUGCAGUGUCCUUGUGCACAGACCAGGGAUUUGCCUGAAAACCUUGGGCCUCUGAGAAUAUUACUGAACGCUAAAAUGUUCAGCCACGGAGAUGAUUCAUGAUUUGUCUGCGUGGGCAAGGGGUGCGCAUACGUGCAUGUAUGAGUGUGUGGGGGUCUGUGCUGGGGUGGGGCAUGCUCACUGAUGGAUGCUUUUUACCAUUCUUCCUUCUAAUCCAAACAUUAGGAAACUUUCUUUUUUCUUUUGUGUUCUUUCAGGAGACAGCCCAUGGCACCAGGUUCUGGAGAGCCAACUUCCUGACUUCAGCAGUGUGAAGAUGAUACAAUACUUUUUGGUGGGCAUUCAUCUGUCCCCCAAGCAGCUCUCAAUCUGGGGCACAGCUUUGAAGGAAGGUUGCUAAGCCUGCUAAAUCCUAGUGCACACCAACGCUGUUUUCCCAUUCAUCUGGAAACCUGGUCUACCCAGGGCUACCACAUCACACAACCCAGGAAACCAUCCACAUUGAGCCAGGCAGUGUGUUUUCAAUGAGAGAUGGUGUCUGUACUUGCCCACUAGGCAGUGACCUUCUGCAAAGCCAAGAUCCUGUGACUUUGCUAACAGCCUGCAUAUAAUAAACGCUCAUUGGCCACAUUAGUGUCCAUUCAGAGUAGGUAUGCAACAAACAUGCCACAAACAUGCUCUUAAUUAUUGAACUGGAACAGAUGGUUUAGUGGAAACAGCUCAAGAUUUGGACUCUGGGGACUUGGGUUCCAGUUUUGUGUUUGCCACUAGAUUGCUGUGCAGCCUUAAGUCAAUCGCACUGCCUCUCUGGUCCUUAUCUUUUAAAAUCAGGUCACAUGUGUCAAAGUUCCUGGGACAAAGAAGGUGUUCAAUGCAUGUGAGUUUCCCACUCCCCUUUUUUUCAUCUGUAAGAUGAGGAAUUUUAAGAUUCCUUGCGGUCUUGUAGAACUGUAGGCUCUCAGAACUAGAAGUUUUGAAAGGGAUCUGGUGUAACCCCUGGCAUCUUUGGUAGGUGAUCAUACAAUUCUGGCUUGUACAUCUCUAAUAACAAGAAGCUCACUUCCUCACGAAGAAGGCCAUUCUACUUUCAGACAGCUCUGGCUUAAAAAUAGUCCCAUUAUCUGACACUUGGCUUCCCAGAGCUUCCAUCAUAAGCCCUGGUUUUGUAUCAUGUGGCCAGUCCCAUUGCCCAAGACAAUAUUCAUGGACAAUGAUCUGUUCAAGGCUCAAAGACACAGACCCACCACCAACUCUUAUGUGACUUAAUUUCAAGCCUACUCAGCCUCUUGGUUACCCUCCCCUGAAUUUUCUCCCUUUCACCCAAAGACCUCUGAGAGAGGGCAUCAGAACAGGGUAAGACUAUCACCUGCCUCUGCCUAGAACCUGUGCUUCUAUUAAGAACCCAGGUUGGAACCAAAGAUCAUGCUACUGGGACUGCUCUCUCUCUCAACCCUAACAAGCAUUUCACCAUGGAAGGCUAAGCUGGGAAUGAGCAGAAUUCUUAAGUUUUAUUUUACAUUUUAAAAAGAACCACCAUAAACAAAAUCCAAAUACAAAUGACAAACUAGGGAAAAAUUAUUUGUAACUCAUAAGAGGCAAAGGCCUAAUUUCCUUACUAGAUAAAGAGAAUCCACAAAUCAAUAUGAAAAAGAUCCACAACCUAAUAGAAAUAUGAGCAAAAGAUAGCAGAUCAUUGACAGAAAUAGACCUGAAAAUUGUUCUUAAGUAUAUUCAUUAUAAGAUAAAUGCAAAUUAAAACCACAAGUAUUUUCCAUCUGUCACACUGACAAAGCUCAAAAAGUUUGAUAACAUUUUGUUGGUAAAGGGUGAGUAAACAGACACUCCUAUACUGCAAGGACUAAACUGGUACAACCUCUCUGAAGACAAAUGUGGCUUUAUCUACCAACAUUUACAAAUGCACAGACACUUUGACUCAGUAAUUGCACCUCUAGGAAUGUAUCUUGCAGAUUCACUUACACAUGCAUAGCAACAAAGGCAGGGACUUUGGUUCAUUUUGUUCACUGCUCUUUCUCUGGCACCUGGAUUGCUGCCCAGCACAUAGUAGGUGGCAAUAAAUGUCUGUUGAAUGAGUGUGAAUGGCUGAAUAUGUAAAAUGACAUGUUCAAGGUUUUUCACUGCAAAAUUCUUGGUAAAAGCCAAAGGCCAGAAUAAUGUUAAAUGUCCAACUAUAAUGGAAUGGCAUACUACUGUUAAAAAGAUCAAGACAGUUCUCCAUGUACUGAUGUGUAGUGAUCUCCAAGAUAUAUCAUUAAAUGAAAAAGGUAAGGUGCAGAAAAUGUGUGUAAUAAAAAUACAGUGGAUAUUUGCUUGUCUAUGCAUAGAACAUCUCUGGAAGGAAGCUCCCAAAUGGUCACUGGGCUUGCUUCUAGGUAGAGGAACAGGUGGCCUCAGGCAUGGAAUGGGGGGUAGCUUUACUUUUCAGCGUAUCUCUUAGAUUCCUUUUUAAUUUUAGAUCAUGUGAAUAUACUACCUAUUCAA